GACGAACGCUGGCGGCGCGCUUAACACAUGCAAGUCGAACGGGAAUUACUUUAUUGAAACUUCGGUCGAUUUAAUUUAAUUCUAGUGGCGGACGGGUGAGUAACGCGUGGGUAACCUGCCUUAUACAGGGGGAUAACAGUCAGAAAUGACUGCUAAUACCGCAUAAGCGCACAGAGCUGCAUGGCUCAGUGUGAAAAACUCCGGUGGUAUAAGAUGGACCCGCGUUGGAUUAGCUGGUUGGUGAGGUAACGGCCCACCAAGGGCACAAUCCAUAGCCGGCCUGAGGGGGUGACAGGCCACAUUGGGACUGAUACACGGCCCAGACUCCUACGGGAGGCAGAAGUGGGGAAUAUUGCACAAUGGGGGAAACCCUGAUGCAGCGACGCCGCGUGAAGGAAGAAGUAUCUCGGUAUGUAAACUUCUAUCAGCAGGGAAGAGCUUGACGGUACCUGACUAAGAAGCCCCGGCUAACUACGUGCCAGCCGCCGCGGUAACAC
rnacentral:rRNA from 1 species